ensembl:ncRNA T23E1.6 ncRNA
UUUUUUGAUUGCUCAUCUAGUCACCUACCAUCUGGUAAUGAUCUAAGCCGUAAAUUCGGACGGCAUGUGAAACUGAUCCGAUCUUAUUUUCUUCUUCCUUCUUCUUCUUCUUCUUCUUAUUUUCCAUUGGCACUGCCGUACCCCCAUCGA